GCCAUUAGCCAAGUAGGUAUGACAAUUUCCUUGCCAGCGUACCCCAUGUUGCAGUGACAUUGAAUGUAGGUGACCUUGUUCAAGGACCAAGGCGGAUUAGGGCGUUCCCGGUUUAGGUUCCAGGUUUAAGGUUUAAGAUUAUUCCUGCUGGGAAUAGGGCGUAUCUUGCUGCCUGAGUUCCCCUUGAGUUCUCACGGGAUUCAGACAGUAUAUUUUGGAGACAGAAGCCCAGUGGAGGUGGAUUUGGGCAGAGAACGUGGAUUUCCCCAGAACGUGAUUGUAGCCGGCUGGUGUGAGUUCGGGAAUAAAGAGUUGCUGUUUGAAUCUACAAGCUGUGUGGUGGCUCGUGAUUGUGUGCCCAGCCAGACUGCGGCACAAUGUCACUGCAAAAUGUCCUAUUUCCAUGAGUCCUUCCACUAAGCAACAUGGGGUACGCUGGCAAGGAAAUUGUCAUACCUACUUGGCUAAUGGCUCCCAGCACUCCUCUAUCUCUUUUGAAGCAGGGUGGUAUAAUAGUUUGGACAGACUUCCUGAAUUAGAAACCCAGCUUUAUUGCUUUCUGAUAUUCAGUUUGGGGCAAUUUAGGGUCUGUGUAACACACUACCCUGUCAGUGUUUUAUCCAAGGAAAAUUUAAUGUAAAUUGUUAGCUCAUCAAUGAUGUAAAUUUUAACUAUUAAAAGGGGUAAAAGAGGUUUCUACAGGAAGUAGCAGGUCAAAAAAACAGGCACUGCUUUUGGCUGAGGGAAAAUGGACCAUAAUGGAAGUAGGAGUGAAGCCCUGCUCUUACUUUAAGGUUGAGAUGCAGUUCUCUUGGAAGAACAUGUGGCUAUUCAUUCAUUUGUUGAAGGGCACCUAGGUUGGUUCCAUAGCUUAGCUAUUGUGAAUUGAGCUACUAUAGAUAUUGAUGUAACUGUGUCACUAUAGUAUGCUGAUUGUAAGUUCUUUGGAUAUACACCAAGCAGAGGGAUAACUGGGUCAAAUGGUGGUUCCAUUGCAAGUUUUCUGAAGAAUUUCCAUACUGUGUUCCAGAAUGCUUGCACCAAUUUACAGUCCCAACUGCAAUGAUAAAUAAAAUGUGGUAUAUAUACACAAUGGAAUAUUCCUCAGCCAUAAAGAAGAAUGAAAUUAUGGCAUUUGCUGAAAAAGAAAAUAUGUGGCUACCACAAGAACACAGCCUAUUAGUGUCAAAAGACUUUUCAGAAGGUGAGGACCCCAAGCCAGUCUGCAGAAGCAUGGAGCUUCUGCAGUGGUCUGGGUAUGCAGUUGGAACUCUGUCAAGCUGACCCCUGGGCUCCCUGCUGAUAGUAACAAUGGAGGACCACCACCUGUUCAGGAAGGGUCUUCCUGAGCCUGGAGGUUCCUGGAUCCUGCCUACUUUUAACCCAUUGUUUAACUGACCUGAUGAUGGAACAGAAAUAAAAUAUAUGGAAGAACAUAAAUAAAUAUAUGAGGAAUUGGUGCUGGGCUCUUGUUGCUUCUAAGGGGAUGAAGAAGACAUAGAAGAGUAAACUGCAGCUUCUAGCAUCAUAACUGCUAAAUAAAUGUUUAUUGAAAGAAUGAAAAAAAUGGAUGAAUGAAUUAUAAAACUGGAAAAUGACUAUAAUGAUCUGUAAAAUCAUUGAGUACUUACCAUAUACCAGGCACUGUUUUAGCCCUUUAUGGAUGUCAUCAUUUUUAAUCAAUACACUAAUUCUAUUACAUAGGAACUAUUUCUUGUUCUCCAUUUUACAGAUGAAGAAACCGAAGUUCAGAAAGAUUAAGUAAUUAAUAGUAUCAAGGCCCUGUCCCUUUUAUAGCUCUGUAGCAUGUUCCUAAUUUCAUAGCCCUGGGGCAGGUCACCUAAUUUCAUACCAUAAUAGCCACUCUUACUGAGCCAGCCAAGGUGGUCUAUUUGUCUUUUCUGUUUUUAUUGCCACCUGCUGGUGAUGGUAUCUGCUUUUACACUAUGAUUGUCUCUUCCAGCUCCUUUUAUUUGUGACUUCUUAUUCCAAAGGUUGUUGGCACCAAUUGUCAGUGUACCUCUUCAGCCUUAACUUGGAAUAAGAAUAGGUCAGAACAGGCUGUCGAUUUCAAACACAACAUCAAGACCAGUCCAGUGCUUGGGUUUCAGGCCUGUGGAUUUCUGUCUGGAUUUUCACCCCGGUUAUCUUAACCUUGUAAGCAAAAGCAAAAUCCUGCUCAUGUUCUGUCCAGCCAGUUUACAGUUUAUUGACAUUAUGGAAGCCUUCAAUUCAUAAAUUCUGUUGUAUUUGGUCUAAUCUAAAAAGAUGUGAUGCUAGCUGUAGGUUUUUUUUUUUUUUUAGAGAGAGAGAGAAUUUUUUUUUAAUAUUUAUUUUUUAGUUCUCAGCGGACACAACAUCUUUGUUGGUAUGUGGUGCUGAUGAUCGAACCCGGGCCCCUCGCAUGCCAGGCGAGUGCACUACCGCUUGAGCCACAUCCCCAACCCAGCUGUAGGUUUUUAAAAUAAUAAUUUUUUUCCAAUUUGCUGUGAAUGGGCUUUUUUUUUUUUUUUUGUCAGUGCUUUUUUCCUACAUCAGUUAAUGUGGUCAUGUGGGGUUUUUUUUCUUUAGUCUUUUGAUAUAAUGGAUUAUACUGAUUGGCUUUUGAAUGUUGAUCAACCCUUGAAUAUCUGAAAUAAAGCCCACAUUUUCAUAGUAUAGAAUUAUUUUAUACAUUAAUUCAUUUUGCUAACAUUUUGUUGAAGAAUUUUGUGUCUAACUUCAUGAGAAUUAUUGGCCUAUAGUUUUAUUUUUCUGGUUCUGGUAUUGUGGGAAUGCCUAUCUCAUAAAAUGAGUUGGGAAGUAUCCUCUCUUCCAUUUAUUCCUAUUUUCUGGAAGAAACUAUGCAAAAUUGGUGUUAAAUACUUAUGUAAAUAUUUGGUAAGUUUUCCGGUGAAACUGUCAGGACCUGGAGAUGUGUUUUCAUUCCAGAUUUCUAUGUAUUGUGUUUUCAUUUUCAUUCCACUUUCUAGUUUCCCUUAUGAUUUCUUGGACUCUGUGGGUUAUUUACAAGUCUGUUGCUUAUUUUACAAGUUGUUGGUAAUUUUGUAGAUAUUUUUCUGCUACUAAUUUCUAGUUUAACUCCAUUUUUUCAGACCAUACAUUGCUGACUUUAAUUCCUUUAAAUUUUGAGAUUUGUUGAAUAUCCCAGAAUAUGUUCUAUCUAACUGUAUGUUUCAAAUGAACUUUUUAAAAAAGAGUUAUGUGUU